rfam:Picea glauca, whole genome shotgun sequence.
UUAAUGGUGUCUUUAGACACCACCUCUAUAUUCGAAAUUUUGAUU